UACGUAGGGGGCAAGCGUUGUUCGGAAUUACUGGGCGUAAAGGGCGCGCAGGCGGCUGCUCAAGUCAGGCGUGAAAGGCCUGGGCUCAACCCGGGAAUUGCGCUUGAGACUGGGCUGGCUUGAGUGCGGGAGAGGAUGGUGGAAUUCCCAGUGUAGAGGUGAAAUUCGUAGAUAUUGGGAAGAACACCGGUGGCGAAGGCGGCCAUCUGGACCGCAACUGACGCUGAGGCGCGAAAGCGUGGGGAGCGAACAGG
rnacentral:rRNA from 1 species